AUGUGAUGGGGCGAGGUCAUUGUACGGCUCGGCAUGUUGCUCAGAUCGGCGCACGACCAGGUGAAUCAUUGCAUUGAUGUCAGAGGUGAGGUCGUCGUACGACCCGAAAUAGCACGCGAUCGGGCGAAUCAUUGCAUUGAUGUCGGAGGUAUGGCCGAGAUCAGAGACUUAUCAUCGUUGAUUGGACUCUGCUGGGCUGACUUGCCGUGGAGAGUUGCGGGUCCGUAGAUAACAGGAGCCACGCGCAUUAAUGGUGGAGUAAGCCGGAGAUCCGCAUUAAUUAUGGAGUAAGCCGGAGAUCCGCAUUAAUUGUGGAGUAAGUCGGAGAUCCUCAUUAAUUGUGGAGUAAGCCGGAGAUCCUCAUUAAUUGUUGAGUAAACUGGGGGUUUGCAGGGGUCAUGCGCAAUAAAUGCCGGGGCAGUGGCAGGGUAUGGCUCUCGG
rnacentral:lncRNA from 1 species